rnacentral:rRNA from 1 species
AUUGAACGCUGGCGGCAGGCCUAACACAUGCAAGUCGAGCGAGCGGCGGACGGGUGAGAAAUGUAUGGGGACUGCCCGAUAGAGGGGGAUAACUACUGGAAACGGUAGCUAAUACCGCAUACUAUCGGAUAACCCAUAUGUGAUUAGCUAGGAGGUGAGGUAAUGGCUCACCUAGGCGACGAUCCCGAGCUGGUCUGAGAGGAUUAUCAGCCACACGUGGACGUAGACACGGUCCAGACUCCGACGGCGGCAGCAGUGGGGAAUAUGGCACAAUGGGCGCAAGCCUUAUGCAGCCAUGCCGCGUGUAUGAAGAAGGCCCUAGGGUUGUAAAGUACUUUCAGUCGGGAGGCGUUACCGACAGAAGAAGCACCGGCUAACUCCGUGCCAGCAGCCGCGGUAAUAC